rnacentral:misc_RNA from 1 species
AAAGGCUUAGUUGAGUUGAGUUAUUUACAUUUCAUUUUUUGUAAUUUCAGUUCCAAUUUUUCGACUCGAUUGGGUUCUGGGGCUGGGUUUGACUUGGCUAUUAGAUUUCUAUAAGUGUCUGAUUUUAUUUCAUCAAUGCACACGCGCUUGUAAUUUCUUUGUUCUUGUUCUUUUUAUUUCUCUGUUGCACUCUGAUAAUAAGGUACAGUCAUCACACACUUACGGGACGCCUGCCUUGCUGCCAGUUGUUUCAUCUACUGACAAUUUUCGUAUAUAGAAAUCUUGGUUUGGUCCUGUUGUCAAUUGAGUCAAAAAGUUAAUCCUUUUGUUAAUUGGCUAUUACUGAAGUAGAUUAACUAGAUUACAAAUUCUGUUGUAACUUAAAGUGUAGCUGAUAUAAGUAGCAAUCACGUGUAGAAGGAGAAGUAUUGAUCAAAUAACAGAAUUGGAAUUCUCCACAAAUUCCUCUUGUUUCUAUUUUCUCUUCUCGGUUUCUUUUUCCUUUCUCUCUUUCCAUCUCUCUCUCUCACUUUCCCUCUGCUUCCUACUACCCAAAUACACCUUUUUUGUGACCAGGUCACAACCCUUUUAUGCUUUUAGUAGAUUCCAAGCGACCCGUUCCCUUGCUCACUCGGGGUAAUAAUGGAACUUUAGAUUGUGGCUUUAUGAUUCACGUAUUCAAAAUUUGCCGUACUGAGACUUUGUGGGAUCUUAAUUCUGUGGCGUCUGACUAACAAAGCAUUUAGUGCUAGGAGGCGACAGAGUGUUAUUAUGUGGCGAGGACAUUGUCUUAACAUGCCAAUUGCCAAAUAACUUGUUAUGAUGACAAACAUUAAGCUGCAGAAUGAUUUUUCAAGGUGAUCUUGUGUUAUUAAUAAAUGCAUCUAUGUUGGGUAUAUUUGUGAAGCUUUUUUGGCCUUGAAGGAAAAGUUACUAGGAUAUAGACAUAUAGUGCUGUUUAAUUUAUCUGCAGUGAUGAAAAAACUUUUGAAGAUAUCAUAUUCAGAUGUUGAGAUGGUUGCCAAAUUUCUUCUGACAUAUACUCUUCCAUGAAGUGAAUUCACUGAUUAACAUCCCAUAGUCAAUAAAGGGUCUCUAGUACCAGGCAUGUUCUCACUUUGGCUAGCAUACAUUAUUGAAAAUUAUAUUAGGUAUUAUGGGUGUUUUGGACCCAAUGUUUACCCCUACUGGUGUAAAAAUUCACUAUACUAGCCAAAUUUUAAUGGAUUUUCGCACACUUCACUAUUUUGAGUUCAAUGACUAUAUGAUAUUAUGCAUCUCCUAGAAGCAGCCCAUAAUUGCUUGCUUGAAUUCUUUUUUUUGAAGUGAGAGUAGAUACUUUGUACUUGAACAUAUCGUCACAAAUUUUUAUGUGCAUAAUUUUGUUUUUGAGCUCCUUGCAGACUGUUAGGGGGAAAUGUUUUG